rnacentral:rRNA from 1 species
AGUGAACGCUGGCGGUAGGCCUAACACAUGCAAGUCGAACGGCAGCACAGUAAGAGCUUGCUCUUACGGGUGGCGAGUGGCGGACGGGUGAGGAAUACAUCGGAAUCUACUUUUUCGUGGGGGACAACGUAGGGAAACUUACGCUAAUACCGCAUACGACCUACGGGUGAAAGCAGGGGAUCUUCGGACCUUGCGCGAUUGAUUGAGCCGAUGUCGGAUUAGCUAGUUGGCGGGGUAAAGGCCCACCAAGGCGACGAUCCGUAGCUGGUCUGAGAGGAUGAUCAGCCACACUGGAACUGAGACACGGUCCAGACUCCUACGGGAGGCAGCAGUGGGGAAUAUUGGACAAUGGGCGCAAGCCUGAUCCAGCCAUACCGCGUGGGUGAAGAAGGCCUUCGGGUUGUAAAGCCCUUUUGUUGGGAAAGAAAAGCAGCAGGUUAAUACCCCGCUGUUCUGACGGUACCCAAAGAAUAAGCACCGGCUAACUUCGUG